AUUCCCUCCCUGCGUCCCUCCCAAACCCUAGCACGGGAGUGAUUUUGGUAUCUUGGUGGAAUCCUGCAUAAGUUACUACACAUCUCAAUAAGGGAGGGCCUUCUCUUUUACUGCAAUCCCCUCCACCCCCCAAGCCACACAGGAAGUUGCUCAGCUGAUAGUUUCAGGGCCUCUGCCAUACACUAUUCCUUCCUCAUCUGAGGGGGGAGAAACUGCCUCUGUGGAAGGAGACCCUCCUUGUUUUCCUAGAACAAAGUUGACACUUGCAUUUGGCCCUCCAGCAGCAACCUGCUUGAAGUCUAAGAGUUGCUUUUCUCUUAUCUCCAAUCCUUUUCUUCAAGAGGUUAGACAGGCCAUACAUCAUAGUGAAUCUGCAGCCUGGGGCCUAAGGCAGUUUGUACACUUCCAGAAGAGGGAAGCCACUUCUAAAACAAUUUCUUAAGGAGACUUCACCCAACCCAAGAAGCUGGGUGUUGCCUGGGCCAUUUCCCUCCUCUGCCCUGAAGCAGUGGCCAGCUCAGAGAGAACCCUGUUGUUUUGUGUUUGUGUGAUCUUUGGGUGGAUGUGUGCACACCACCUGCUGAGCUUCGCUGUGUGCGUGCCUCACCGCCAGCCCUAAUCUGCCAGAGCUUCCUGGCCUUGCAAAUGUUUCUGUGGAGGGUCCAUAUUAGACUCCAGUGGUUCUUGCAGUCUAUAAAGUCUCCUUGAAGGUGAUUCCCUGUUCCUUGAAGACAACUGGCUGGGCUGGAUGCCUGAAUAUAGCUCCCUGACUUCUCUAAAGGACAAACUUAUUGCCCCUUUAGAGAAGUCAUGAAGCUUUGCCGGCAAGCACAGAGUCUAGCUUAGAAAACACAACCAGGGCCAGGAGUGGUGUGGCUCAUGCCUGCAAAUCCAGCACUUUGGGAGGCCAAGGCUUAGAGGAUCACUUGAGCCCAGGAGUUCAAGACCAGCAUGGGUAAUAUAGUGAGAACUUGUCUCUACAAAAAAUUUUAAAACUAGCCAGGCAUGGUGGUACACACUGGUAGUCCCAGCCACUUGGGAGGCUGAGGUGGGAGGAUCCUUUGAGCCUGGGAGGCAGAGGUUGCAGUGAGCUGAGAUUGUGCCACUGCACUCCAGCCUGGGUAACAGAAUGAGACCCUGUCUCAAAAGAAAAAAAUAAAAAGACCACCAGGGCCCAGGCACAGAGCCUGGAGCGGGGAAGAGAUAGCGGAGUUAACUGUGAAUCCUGAUUGCACUGACCACAGUCUAGUGAGCAACACAUGUUUCCUUUUGAAUAUGAGUGGGAAUCACCUUUAAAACUAUAUAACAUUUGCAUCUUCUCAAAAGCCCCAGGUCCUACUAAGAUUGACUUAGGGCUACAUAUCAGGUCUCAUUUUCAAGGAGGAAACACAGGGAAGCCUCAAGAUGUGCAGAAGAGAGGGAUGUGGGGAAUACACCCAACCACUCCUCUGCUGAGGUUGGAACAGAACAAGGAAAGUCCCCGGACCUCCUCUCAGCAGGCAGAGAAGUGCGGGGCCUCCCUCUGGCAAAGCCUGCAGAUGUGGCCAGCAUACCUCCAUACACACAGCUUCAGAGGCAAGGGUGUCCAAGGGAGUCUUAAGUUUUAUCAGAAAUAAUGUCAUUCGACUGACCAGUAAGGGGAGCUUUCAGAAAGUUAUGGAAGAAGAUGCGACAGACACAGGAAGGACUUCAGAAGCAAGAAGACAACUGGACUCUCUAAAAUGCCACUCCGAAAGCGAAAAGGGAAGCCCACAGACCCACGAAGACGUGCUGGCCUCGUGUUGCCAGUUCUGUUUCUCUUUCAAUACCCAUCUCUUCAGAUUGAAGGGCUUCUGCCUUCUUGCAGUUUUUGCUGACACGUUUACCCAUUUACAAACCUUGGCUGCACCUAACUUUUUUUUUUUUUUUUUUUUUUU
rnacentral:lncRNA from 1 species